UACAGAGGGUGCGAGCGUUAAUCGGAAUUACUGGGCGUAAAGCGCACGUAGGCGGCUUGGUAUGUCGGGUGUGAAAUCCCCGGGCUCAACCUGGGAACUGCAUCCGAAACUGCCUUGCUAGAGUAUGGGAGAGGGAAGUGGAAUUUCCGGUGUAGCGGUGAAAUUCGUAGAUAUCGGGAGGAACACCGGUGGCGAAGGCGGCGACCUGGGUCGAGACUGACGCUGAGGCGCGAAAGCGUGGGGAGCAAACAGG
rnacentral:rRNA from 1 species